UUGCUUCAGCAGCACAUAUAUUAAAAUUGGAAUGAUACAGAGAAGAUUAGCAUGGCUCCUGCACAAGGAUGACAUGCAAAUCUGUGAAGUGUUCCAUAGUUCU
rnacentral:snRNA from 1 species